UAAUACAGGGGUCUCGAGCGUUAAUCGGAAUCACUGGGCUUAAAGGGUGCGUAGGCUGGCCCGUAAGUGCUUUGUGAAAUCCCACGGCUCAACCGUGGAAUUGCAGGGCAUACUGCGGGUCUUGAGGAAGGUAGAGGUCGACGGAACGAUAGGUGGAGCGGUGGAAUGCAUAGAGAUCUAUCGGAACGCCAAAAGUGAAGACAGUCGACUGGGCCUUUCCUGACGCUGAGGCACGAAAGCGUGGGUAGCAAACCGGAUUAGAUACCCGGGUAGUCCACGCCCUAAACGAUGCGCACUAGACCGGAGCGGCUCUGACGUCGUUCUGGUCGCAGAGAAAUUGAUAAGUGCGCCGCCUGGGGAGUACGGUCGCAAGGCUA
rnacentral:rRNA from 1 species